rnacentral:rRNA from 1 species
UACGGGGGGGGUAAGCGUUGUUCGGAAUUACUGGGCGUAAAGGGCUCGUAGGCGGCCAACUAAGUCAUACGUGAAAUCCCUCGGCUUAACCGGGGAACUGCGUCUGAUACUGGAUGGCUUGAGGUUGGGAGAGGGAUGCGGAGUUCCAGGUGUAGCGGUGAAAUGCGUAGAUAUCUGGAGGAACACCGGUGGCGAAGGCGGCAUCCUGGACCAAUUCUGACACUGAGGAGCGAAAGCCAGGGGAGCAAACGGG